AUGUCUGCUUUGGAGCCCCCAGUGAAGGACAAGCUGUCAAAAUAUCAAGUGUAAUAGUUCCCUGGUCUUUGGUGCUGACUUGUCUUCAGUAUGUGAUUCUUCAAAUUUGUGCAUCGGCAAUGCUUCUGUCGGUUAUUCUGCAUUCCCUGAUGAUAUCGGAGGUGUCAUUCAUUUAAGCAUAUAUCAAAGUUUUGGCCAAAAUUUUUUCAGGCAUGACAGUAUAGUCACCUUAAUCAUUAAAGCUUGAAGUUGCUAUCCUCUCCAAACAUUUAUAUAUGCAUCGGUCCUCCCCCGCAGCAUUGGGUCUUAAGAAAUGAAGCAACCUGAGGUUUGAAUGUGGAUAUGUACAGGGUGCAGCUUUUCAAGCUUUUGGGAGUAUUUAUCUUAGCGUUUAGUGUUUCAAGGGUGACCAAAAGUAUUAAUUAAGGC
rnacentral:lncRNA from 1 species